rnacentral:misc_RNA from 1 species
AACGCUACGGCCGACACAGAGGCCAGCAAUUUGACAGUCGUAGGCGGCUCCUUGUCGUGGAGCGGCCGGAGGAUCUCUCUGGGUGUCUCUUACGUCCUCUCGGUGGCUGGGCUGUACGUUUCUCUGCCCCCGUUCCUUUUUCUCACCUUCCGCCGCAUAGGUUAUCUGUAUUCCCACAAGGUCAGGCCACCCCCAAUACCCACACGCAUACACAGGCGACAGCAGCAAUGAACGAUAUCUACGCAAAACGCUUGGCACAGACAGCCAUGUUUCACCAGCUGAUGCGCAGCCACGGCACUCUCUGGGCGGCGACGCAGGUGACAAAGGAGAAGCUCGAUUUGGCGUUUGUGAAGGAGGAGAUGAUGCGCGUUAAUGGUCGCCGUGCGAUGCCGCUUCUCGUCGGUGCGGCCGCGAAUGAGAACCUGAACGACACCCACCUUGCUCACCUAACAGAGCAUUGUGCGUGGGCGGAGUCCGCUCGCGCCUUCGCCGUGCAGCGGCAGACCCCGCUAACGCAGCACAUCGCAUCGAUGGGGCGCAUGACAGAGACCAUCACGCAGGCCAAGACCGCGUCGACGAGUCAACUCCUUUUAAAUGAGCACUUGGCCCGCAUUGACGGGAUUAGCGAGUUCGAGGAGGAGCCCAUCAUGGCGGAUGAAUAUGACAGUUGAGCGCACAUGCACGAGCGGGUAUGUAUGCAUACAUAUAUGUAUACGUGCGUGUGUGCUCAAACUUUGGCGAAGUUGUGUGGGUCGGGGCCGCCGCUACUCCACGGGCAUGGCGAUCUCUCUUUUCCGUGGCACGGCGGUCCGUUGGCUCUUCCUUCGGGCAUUUGGGGGAGAGGUUGGCGUGCAGGGUUUUAUUUGGGAGUUCCGCCACCUCCGUAUUGUCCGUGUGGGUGCGUUUGUUCGUGGGAAGGCGUGCUGGACGUUGGGCUGCCACGUGAGAUGUCGACUUGCAAGCAAGCGCGAUAAUAAACACAGACACUGAGCCACUUGCAUAGGUGGGGCAGUGACGUAGCCGCCCAGGGCAUAUUUGCUGCAUCCCCCCCCCCACUCACUCCCUUCCUGCCCUCGUGUCUCACCGCUCUUGGCGCACUCUUUCAUUCUUAUGAUCGCGUGUCGCAAAGCUGGGAUUACGGUACCCAAUCAUCGGCACGUGAGAAAGGGCGGCGUUGCUCUUGCUCUCUUGCGUUGCCGUAUAGCUCACAGACUCGAUGUGGCGUUCUCCCCCUUUGUGCACUUACGAAAAAAAAACAUUGUCCCCCCCCUCCCCCUCCCUCCCUCCCCUCCCCAUCGACGGUCUUCUCCACUGCACCACAAAAG